AUCCCAGAUAAACUUGUUCCAGUAGUUUUUCUGAUUCAUGGAAGGCCAAAAGUGACGAUGGGAGUUUCGCUGAUAGCACCUUCUUUCUUGUUCACUAUGGAGGUGUUUCAUUAGUAGCUUGCCACACAUUA